rnacentral:misc_RNA from 1 species
UAUACAAAGGAAAGCAUCAUGCCUGAAGAUAAAAAGACAAAGUUCCUCGAAUCAGAAGAUUCAGAAUUUGAAAAAGUUAUUGACUUCUACAUCUGUUCUCAAAGUAAUGUCUUUGUACCAGCCAUAUCUGGCCUAUUCUAUGCCAAUGUAGCAGGUAAGAGAAUAGCUUCUGGCAAGACGCAAAUACUUGUUCCAGCAGACAUUCCAGGUUCCUCUGCGUCUGUCACCAAUCAUUUCUCCCCCUAUGUCUCAAAGAAGAACCACUUGGCCUAUUCAUGUGUUUGCUAGUAAUGUGUAAAAAAGGAAGGGAAAAAAGAAAAAAAAACUGAGAACAAAAAACGCACAACACCUUUAUUAUUUGAAGUCUUGAAUGAUGGUCUUACAUCACCUCAGUCAAUCUCUUCUAGUAAGCAGAUAGGUGAGUUCCAUCAUGCAAUCUUCAAUUUGUGUGUCAAAAACAAAGUUAAGCUGAUUUUUGAAGAUCAUUCUACAGUACAGGUAGCUUUGUGGACGGUAUAUAUAUAUAUUCAAGAAUGUUUUUGAUGCUUUGUAGACCGC